ACAUUCAGGUCAAAGCGUGUUCCUCUACAAACCCUCUUUUCCUCCAAUUCUGUUUUCAUAUUUUCCUGUUCAUCCUCAUCUAGAAUGUGGUUCCCAUCACGGUCAAACUGUGAGAACGCGGCAGAAAUUUCAUGAUCGGCAUGUCCCAUCCUACAAGAUCAUCAGAGUGCACACAGAAGCUGUGAACAAAAGGAGGAUUUACACGUCGCGGUGCAGAGCAAGUGGACAUGGCCUGCCGUUACUGGUUGGGAUGUUGGAGCUGCGUUGUGGAGUGGCGGCACACAGUUGAAAAGCUGUGGUGUGGCUGCGAGCGAAGCAGCCACUGACACCAGCUGACCCUCUGCCGGUGGUGACGUCGGAAACACUUGCACAGGCUUCUCCGUCGGCCUCCUCCAGCUCGCUGACCUCUCCUCCCUCAUCGCCACUGCAUUCUGACUCGUCGCUGUCACUUUCACACGAGCUCGUCGUCUCAUUCUCAGAGUCUGAGUAAACCUCGGCUCCAUGGAAGAUGUAGUGAUGCGGUGCUUGAAACAGUAAACUUCAACAAAGUGAUAAAAAGCCUGAAACAAGCACGAUUGGCCUCUUAUUUGAGCUGCUCAAAGUCCCCGCCCAGUCGAUGACAAAGCUCAUUGACGAUGACAUCGCAGUCGCCGAGCAGUUCCACAUCAAAGUUGAGGUGAGGCAGCUGCUCCCUAUUGAUCAAGACCUGAGGCACUUCAUGAGGGAUGGAGUCUGGAUGGGAUGACAAGAAAAUCUGUUGCAAACAUUUGCAGACAAAUCAAUUCACUAGUCUGGGCAAAAGCAUACGUGGGAUGAGGGCGACUGGUCGGACUUUCAGUGACGACCCGAUGACAAUCAGAAGGUCCACCUCAUCCUUGUCCUGUUUCAUGGCUCUGUGAAACAUUUCUGGAAGAUUCUCUCCAAAGAAGACGAUGUCAGGUUUCAUUAUUGCUAAAGGAAUAUCCGGACAGCGAGGACAAUGGGGGACCUGCUGCAAGAGGAAUGUAUAGUUCGUAAUUAGGAUUUCAAACACUUACAUCAAUUAGAGUUUGGCAAAGAUGCACUAACUCAAAUCUAAUACUCAAUGAAAAACACCGUUGACAAGCUAACAAAAAUUUGCAUUGAACUUGUGGAACUUAUAGCUCUCAAAAUAAUAAACAUUGGUACACAAAUACUGUAUAGACUCAUACAAACAGGCACUAUAACAAUACCUUCAGGCAUAUACAGUAUUCAAACGCUGUGAAAAACGGGUCAUAAACAAUAUUCGAUUAUGACUUCUACUUUCUUUAUGUUACUGCAAGGGUGUAUCUCAUUGCAUGCACCACACAGGCCCUCAGAGGUCAAGAUGCACACAGCAGGAACACCACUCUAAACUUGGCACACACAAACAAGGGCAGUACAAGCCUCACUACAUUAUUCCGAUCCACCACGACAUUGUCGAUGUAACUAUACCCCAGAUACAUAAAGAAAUUAAAAAGUGUACUGCCGCACAUGCUGUUCCCACCAUAUACGGACAGUAGUUUUAUUGAAUCUAUUUAAUUGUAGAAUAUGCUUAUAAGUUGAACAGUGGUUAUGUUGCAUUUUUUUGUUUUUAUUGAGGUUAUUUUUCAGGGUUUUCUUCAUCUAAUUUUGUUUUAUUCAAUUGUAGUAUAUUCUUGUGUUUAGCGUUAAUGUAUAACCCAUUGGUUAACAAUAAAUGGGUCAGUUUUUCCUCAUACCAACUGUUGCUGACUAUUGUUCUCCGUUUCAGUAUGGUAAUAUCACUUGAUUGAAGCCGUUUCGAAAAAACAAAAGUAAAAGCCUGUCUGACGCAUGCUGAUAUCAAAUCAAUAUCGAAAUCAGCAGAUACUCAAAGCUGCAAUAUCGGUAUCGUAUCAGAAAGGAAAAGGUUGUAUCGGGACAUCCCUAAUCACGUCACAUGAGACUUUAACUCAGGCAUCCUCUAAAGCACAGGUGUCAAACUCAAGGUCCACGGGGACCACAUACGGCCCAUCAUAUUGUUUAUGUGGCCCACUCAAACAAAUAGUAGCUACUUCAUGUUUCUUUCAAUUUUGGCAAAAAAAAAAGUCUUGAGAAAAUUGUAAACCGUUUUUACAAGCAUUCCUCCCUCCCACUAAAUCCCUUGUGAACAUAAAUUUAACAAUAGUUGUAUACUUAAAUAUUUUCAAGAAUAUACAACCCCAAUUCCAAUGAAGUUGGGAUGUUGUGUUAAACAAAAAAAACAGAAUACAAUGAUUUACAAAUCAUGUUCAACCUAUAUUUAA